rnacentral:misc_RNA from 1 species
UUCCACAAUAACCCCAUUUGAAGCCACCCCCAAAAGGAAUAAAAAUAAUAAAAAAAAUUCCCACAGCUAUUAACACCAAUUACUAAGUCAUUAGGCUAAGUAAUGGCAUAAUCGAGUAUACUAAAUAAUCCUCUUAAUUUAUGGGCACCAUGCAUGUCAGUGAAGCUAAAACUAUGGAUUUAAACAUAACACCUUGUGGUAUGCGUCCCUCAUCAUUGCGGGAGAAGAGAGCUUGGUACACCGGCAAGUUAACCAUAAUCACAAGUACGCAGAGAAUAACCUGAGGGAUCAACAUUUCUGUAGUAUUGAAAUCUAUCUCUGAGGCAAUAAUCCUCUUCAUUAUUGCCCCAACAAAACUGAGAAGGUUUAGCAUCGCUAGAGUUGCUAUAAUGGUGACCUCUGUGGUUGAGCUUCCGAACUCCAUGACCUCUUUCUCGUACCUCUUCAACACAUCAUCUGUCACUACCUUUGGUGUAAUGGCGAAAGUUGUUUGCGAUAAGCGUAAUUGUUUGAUAGCGGUAUCAAUGAAAGCAAGAAAAUACGCUGUUGUUCUUCGAAUCACCCACAUCCUUUGCGAGUUCCACCAAGCUUUAAUCGUCCCACCACAAACCCAGGUCUCCACGAUGCUGUAUGCAUUCUUGGAUAUGAAAACAUAUGCGUAUGGUAGAAACCAUUGGCUUGACGCCUGAGGGAAUAAGGGAAUGCCAUGAAGCAGGCAAAGAGGAGGAACAAUCACAUAGUAUAGUGUAGGCAAAGACAUAG